GCACUCCUGAGGGGUCCCGCAAUAGGACGAAACGGCCGUCCAGUGC
rnacentral:hammerhead_ribozyme from 1 species